GGCAGCUGCACCUUCUCUCCUCUCCUCUACCUAUCUGUUCAAAAUGCUAAACGAUGACAGUUUUUUGAAUAACACGGAUUGGCCUUUUAGCAACAAUUGGGGUUUUGAUGUGGGAACUACACGAUUGGAUCUUCAACAGCUUGAGGGAAACAUCUAAAGUAAACGACGAACGAACUUCCAUUGAUAACCGAUGAACUUAGUGUUUGAAGGAAGCAAGAUCAUUUCCCGGUUUCAUUUUUCUUCCGUCGGUCAGGUAGUUCGCCUGGUUUUUACUUUAGAUGUCUCCUUCAUGCUGUCUGUAGGUCUACUAAUCUCCUAGAACAAGUUCAGUGACUUCAUUUUAGCAGCAGUUGAGUCGAAAUGGAUAUUGUUCGAAAAACACUAGAAGUUUGAACAAUUUUAUCUACAAUUAUCAGAGGAGCUGAAAGAAAAAAGCAAGAGAGCUAUGCAAUCUUGAAUAAUAGUAUGCUGUCUGCAGCCUUUACAUGGUUUGUUCAGAAGAACUUGCUACUAAUGAGCCUAUUACCUCUGAUCAAGAUUGAGAAGAUUUGCCUCUUACAAUGCAAAGUGAAAAGGCUAUUUUUGAUUAUUAACUUUGUGGAAGGGACAAUGAAACUCCGGAGUACAUGCAACUUAUCGCCGUCAGAAUCGAGAAUUCGAUUCCGUGAGAUAUCAAAGGUGCUUGGGGCUUGAAGGCAAUGGUGUAGACACACCUCGAAAGUGGAUCACCGUUUCUUGAGGUAUAUGUGGAAUUUUCAAGACCAGAUGAAAGACUUGUGACUUUAACAUCUCUUCCUGUUUGAGAGGCAAGAACAGUUGAAAAUGUCGAUAGUAUAACUAUUUUGUUAGAAAAUUUCCAUUAUGAUAUCUCGAAAUCAUCAAUAUGAGGACUUUUAUCCGUCUUAGCCUUAGAUUUCAAUGUAUUCCUUAAGGAUUACUACCCGAAUUUCCCAAUUAUCGUAUGGUGCCUAUUUAAACUAUAUGAAUGUGAUAAAAACAUUAGUUAUAUAUAUACACUACUAAAUACAAAAUAUGAAAUCAACUACGUUAUUUGUAUAUA